GAGAUUUUAGUAUAAUAAGUACAUUUCUUUUUCACAGAAAAGGUUUUAAAUCUUA
rnacentral:tRNA from 1 species